CAUAUUUAAACACAGUUUACAAACUGUCUUCUUGCUUCCAGUUCUUCAGAAACUUUAUGAAAAUCUUCAGAAAUUCAACCACCUCUUCAUUUUUUAAAAAAGAUUUUCUUCUUGUCUUUGAUAUCCCUAAAUUUCCUGCCGAUGUGAAUGUCCUGAGGUGUCUACAUGGAUGGGAUGCCGGUGGUCCAUGUUUUGGGGCCAGCAGCCCGUGUUUUAAAAGCUCUCCUGGUGAUUCUGCUGCAGGUCAGUUGUGGAAGUCUCCAGCAUGCAGUGUUAUGAUCGGACAUCUGCAUGCACUGAGAACACACAUCACUGCCAUUGAGUUACUCUCUGUCAUGAAACAGUUUUUGCAAGCGCUUCUGCAGCUUGUUCAGGAAGUUCUGGCCUGCGGGAAUGCGCUCCCCAUCGAGAGGCUUGGUUGGGUGUUGUCCUCCACUGCACCUGUGCCACGGGGCUGGGGGCUCUCUACCCCUCAGCAUGGAGCCCCACCCCAACUCUCCUGGCAGGUGUAACUUGAGAGGUGAUUGGAAGGCCAGGGGUGUUAUGAGCUGACUUUUCUCGGUAGGUGGAACCGAGGCUGUGACUUACUUCACAUCAUGGGAAAUGUGCCUUCUCUCCCAAAGUGGUGAACACAGUGAGGCAUCGUGGGGACAGGUGGGUGUGGUGUCUCCAGCACCUGAUGAACAAACAGCCUUUGUGUCCCACAUGGGGGGCAGGGCUCUGCUCCCCUAGACCCUGCAGCCGCGGGGGAGAUGGUGCCUCUGAGAGGAUGCCCGUGUGGACGUGGCUGAGCACCGUCAGGACUGGGAAUUCAGAGCUUUCUCUGUAACCAUCGCUCUGUUGUAGAGAGCCCCCCAGGGGGCCUUAGUGUCCCCAUAGAUGAGGCUAGUCCUUCUCAGACUUUGGAAUUUCACACACAG
ensembl:lncRNA